AUACAAUGAUGAGGACAUCUUCUGAGUAACUCUUUAAAUCUUUCCUAUGGAUCACACAAGCUUUCAUCUUCAAAUUGAUGGAAAGAUGUGAUCUCGUUCCUCAACUU
rfam:Citrus sinensis cultivar Ridge Pineapple sweet orange scaffold00230_contig_7, whole genome shotgun sequence.